AAUUGCCGAGGCUGAGAUGAUGGCAAGCAUCCUGCUCAGAGCGAGCCCAAUUUUCCAAAGGGUUGGAGGGAUCUAAGAGAUUAGAUGGUAAUCCUUGGUUUUAGAAAUGGGUGGACAAAAUCCUUAGCCGCUGGACUGGAAAUUAUAAAUGCAAUUUAUUUCAUCUUUCAAAACAAGCUCAAGGGCAUUAAGAAUCACUUUAUGAUGAUCUCUUUGGUAUUUACAAUAUCCCUAAAAGGUAACAAAGCUGCUUCAUCUCAUAUUUAUAUCUACGCAGAGCUGAGGAGCUGGGACAAGGGCUUCUCGCUGGUGAUUGAGGGAGAUGCUGUCCAAUUCCAAAAGCCUGCACUGGCUUGGACACAGCACUGCUAAUAAAGCCGCUUCUUACUGUUCGGCCAUUCCUUACUUUACCUCAUUUGGUUAAACCACAAGCUCAGUGCUUGGAACUUCCGUUUUCUUAUCUUGAACAUCGCGUACUGUUCCAGCUCACAGCCAGCCACCCAGGAAGGAAGCGUUUUGUUCCUUUUAGACAGAGGCCCUGGCCGGCCACAUGGCCACGCUGUUGAAAAGCUCUAAAUUUUCCGACGAGCUCUGGGACCCUUAGCAGGGGAGACUGGAAACAGACAAGCUGGACCUCUGCCUGUAUGGCGAUUUCUGAGAUGCUAAGAAGUCCUCAAUUUCUUCUCCUUUGAUAGACUACCCAAUAUUUGAGCUGCUACCGUUAUGAGUUUCACGCGUAUUUUAUGAGUUAAAAGAAGAAAGCAGGACCAUUUUGGGUACGGGCCGAGGCAAGAGUUCCUGUUGCUUUGGAUUCUGACUUCUGGGUCUGAAUUGAGGGCAGAUGGCAAAUAUGGCAAAUGCGGGUGAAGGGAGCUUUAUGAGAGUUCACAGGUUCCCCAGUAAACCAACCAUGCACGAGUAAAGAGGGAUGUGAGGCUGGCCGUGCUGCCCUGUUCCCACCGAGGAUACAACCCUUCCUUUGUGUAAGUGGGUCUGAGAGCAUUUGCUGUUGAUGCUGAUACAGUACUUCCAAAAUAUUAAGUUAAUAUUUAAAACUUUUUAAAUAAAGUUUCUUCUGUUAGAGCUUCAACUCAACCUGGUUUUGCCUGGAUUUGAAAAGACUAUGUCUUUUGGUGGGCAUCCAAUAUUGUAAAAGUACUCCUUUCAUUAUUAUAACCAAUAGGUCCCCAUCGUCACUAGCCAUGAGGUCACAUUUCCAAGAAUACAUCCCGAAUCGUGUGAUGUUUUGCCCUUUUCUCUUGUGUGGCCAAUGCCACCUCAGCAAGAGUUUCUAGGAUUCUUCCGAGAAGGGCUUAUACGGUUCUCCAAAGCUUUCCUGGGGGUUACCCGAUGCUGCAGCCAGCCUUUGGGCUGCAGACUGCUGGCCUUGUCACCAUCUCAUGGCCCCAGGUCAUCCCACUGUUCCAGGCCUUUCCUGCCGGCCUUGGUCUCCCUCAACCUCUCGUCCCCGACCAGGCCUUUGAGGUUAAUUUCUGCAGCCCGCUCCUGGAAUGACAACUUGUUCAAGUCCUUGCCCUCCUUCAAAGUUCAGUUCUAAUCGCAUUUCCUCCAGGAAUUCUAAGAUCCCUAGUGGAUAAAUGGCCUCUUCUCUACUCCUGUUGCGCUUUGUACCCUAACUUUCCAAGGCAUAUGUGAUGAAUGCUGAAAUAGCUAUUUAUAUGUCUAUCUUCCUACCACUCCCAGCCACCAUGUGAGCUCCGGGAUGCAAUGACUAGAUCAUAUUCAUUUUUUUUUUAAACUCACCAAAGCACUGGCACAAUAUAUUAAACAUAGGAAGUCUUGUAAGUACUGAAUAAAACAGACUGCCUUAAAUUCUCACUAAGGUGUGAAGGACUGAUUGUCAUACCUCUCCAGAAUGUAUAAGAAAAACCUUUAUUCCCCCAAGAGGAAUUUUUAUUCUAAUGGGUCUAUGGAAGGAAAAGACAAUUCUUGAACCUUCUAGGAAAUCAUACAGGAUGGGUAGAUUGAACAACACUCAAGUAAGUAAAGUGCCAAAGAAGCAUACGGAUUUGACAAGGAUCUCUGCCCUGGCCCCCGCCGAUCACUCUGAACAACACAGCAGAUUUUGCACAAUAUUAGCCUCAUUUAACCAGUCAUCAUUUCCUCUUAAAAGAAAAAUAAGAAGAAGAGUUAAGGGCAAGUAGAAAAAAAUGCCUUUGAAUUAAAAUCUUGGCUUUUCUUUGAACAUCCAGAUGAUUAAAUGAGAUCCAGACGAAAGCAGGCAAUUUCCAAAAAAUAAAACCCAGCCGGGGGUAUCUGCAUUCCCUCAUGUUUCUACUGGUAACCCUGUGGUAAAGUAAAGUAAUGAUUGAUUCCGAGAGAAUUAUGGCUAUUAUAAACUGUAAUCAGUGGUGGAUGAGAAUAAUUACGCAGGGAAAGGGGGAAAAGCUGAAACAUGGCUGGGCAGUGUUCUGAUGGAUGGGGAAGUCAUUUCCUGGCCGUUAAUGACUGAUUUUUCAACAGUCAGCACACAAGCUUUAAUCCCAGAGGGGAGAACGAGAAAGAAAUGGCUGCAUUAUUAAGGAUGCUACUGACUUAACCUUACCAAUGUUAAUCUGAAUGAAGCUGGGGCCUGUCCCCCUGUCUGUCCUUGCUUUUGUUCCUGCCGUUGCACACAAACCCUUCGGGGGUGAGGUUAGGGCUGGCCUUUACCUGAGAGACACCAGAAAGAAUACUGGUGGUAGGGAACUCCCCUAUAUCAUGGUGGUGGCAUAUAGCAUCAGGAUGUCACAGCAUCGUAGACUCCUGGAACUGGAAGGGCCACAGAAAUCACCUAAGCCGAUCUGCUCCUUUUAUAGAUGAGCCCAGAGCAGUCAGGUGACUUGUCUAAGUCACACGGCUGGUGGGCUUUAGGCUUAAGGGGAAAUUGUCUGCAUAGGACCAGAAGGGCGACUGGCCUUGUCAAAGAGGCAUGAUGGGCUCUCCGAGGGAGAGACCUCUGCUAAACCCCUUUCAAAAUUGGCAUCAGCUUAGUCUCUUGCCCUCUGAGACGGGCUUUGCAGUUCAAUAUUCUGCCUACACAAAUUGUUACUGGGUGAGGUUACAAGAGGGGGCCUGGGCUUGUGGAACGAUCUGUUGUGGUUUACAGACCUGCAGUGGGUCCUCUAACCUGUGCCGUGGACAGAAAGAGAGAGAAGGAGAGAGGACCCAAUUUAUCUUAUCAUUUGCAGCCAUAAAACAGGAUAACUGAUGGAAAUAGAUUAAAAGUCAUAAAACUGUGUAAAGCAGGACAGCCAAGCGUCAGCUGGUGACUGACACCCCCCUUCAGAGCCUGUGACUUUGAACAGCCUUGUGAACACUUUUGUGAAGUCCUGAGUUUCUCUCCCUCUCUCUCUCUGUCUCUCUCUGUCUCUCUCUGCCUCUCUCUCCUACCUCCAGGGCAGAGCCACCAGAGGCUGGGAGAUGUGUAAUGGUGUCAGGCGGUGUGACAAAUUCCAGCAAGCUUCCCUCCUCCCCCACUUAAGGACAAAGCCCAUCAGAAGAAAAAGAAGGAUCAUCUUCUAAGAAAAGGCGACUGCCUCUGAGGCUAAAUUAUGUCAAGAUAUAAGAUCAGGAAUGUCCAGAUGCUGUUCACCCCAUCUUAAUUUAAUUUGGACUUCUUUGGGGGAAAACAUACCUCAGUUCCAGGAAAAGUUGUUUUGACUUUGAGGCUGCUUGGCCUCUGUUUUAUGAAAACAAACAUUUUAAUCAAGAUGCCAUCAUUCCUGGAUUUUCACUGUGAAGGUGUUUUCUGGAGCAAACCCUUGAGCCAAUGUAUGCCAUUGAUAAUAUUCUAUUCAGCAACUUUGAAUAGAAUGUUUCUACUUAUCAUUGUUAAAUAGAAAAACCAUUUGUUUUUUCUCUGUUCCCACUUUUAGUUUCUUGAACUUCUUUCCAAUAGGACCAGUUCCUUUUCAGGUACAUUUUAAGUGAUGCUUUGAGAAAGUAUUUGUCCAUCUGGUGUUCCUUUCCCCUUCUUCAGGUAAACACACCUUACUUUUCCUUUAGGUAACCAUCCUUCCCCCAUUCCACAGGACCCUGAUACAUCUGCAAAGCCCAGAGCAGCAUCUGCCCCCACAGCACCCCACCAGCUUUCCACAUGACCCCAAAUACAGAAGGGGCCAUGAGACCCUGGGGGGCUAGUCCAAGUUGUCUAUUUCCAAGCCAGGGUGAUUGGCUUUGAAACAGCCACGACUUACGUGUGUAUGUGUAUUAUCUUUCUUGAGAUUUGCCAUAUGGAUGCUGAGAGAGAGUAUGUGCACGUCAUCAGUUUGGAACAGUAGCUGUGAGGAUAUGGUAUUUUAGCGGCCUGCACCAUCUUUCCAGCUGUAGAUAAGGAGCCAGAGAGAGAGAGAGAGAGAAAUUGACUUAUGUCAUCCAAGCCCCUGGAUCCAGCAAAGCCUGACUUUUAAACCCUACAGCCCUGGACUCCCCAGUUCUGGGACCAAUGGACUCCCUCUUUAGCUGUAAACUCAAUGGACUAGGGAGACCACCUCUUACCACCCAGAGUCCUGACACAGACUAAGCCUUUUCAUAGGGCUUGCUCUGAUUUAAAUUUUGGCCAGAGAGUCUAGUAUUUUUGAAAUUGAAAUAUUCAUAAUGAAUUUUUGUGCUAGUAACAAAGGGUUAUAGAACUUUAUAUAGCAGAAAGUAAUAUAUCUUUUGACUAUAACUUGGAUUUCCAAGUCCAUUAUGCAUCUAGUGCAACCAAACUUUGAAUCAUGUUCUGAAUGAAUGAAAGAAUGAAUGACUGAUUGAACAGACAGAGGGACUAAAAGUCUUCCAGAUAUCACCCUGUGCCAACUGGAAGGCUCCACUCUGCCAAUGAGUUGUUGGAGUGAACAACUCUUGUUCUUAAUCAUGCAUGCACACAUGUACACACGCCCCCCCCCCCCCCCCCCCCACCAUGUUGCCCUUCAAGGAUUAACUAGAGAAAAAGCAAAAGCUCUCCAAAGAAAAUAUCUGGAAGAUUGUUUAACACGUGACUUGAGGAAGAGCGCCAUUCCCCACAGGCAGUAGCGAAGGUGGGGUCAGAUUUUAAGAACUCCACAGGGAUGCAGAAACCCGGAGGGGAAACUCAGACAUCUGGCCCACCAUGCCUUUUCCUCACCUUCUGGGGCCCAACCUUCCGUGCCUUUGAGGAUUAGGUCAUGCCUAACAAAGCCCUCCAUUCCUUGCAGGCUCUGCCCUGCUCUCCAGAAAGCACCCCCAGGAGGAGAGCAGGACGUGCAGUGAGGGGCCCGUCCUGAGAACCCUUAGGCAUGGAGGAUGAGUGCUGGAGGGUGCAGGCCGGGCAUUUCAAGGCUCUUCCCUACAAGAGGAGCCUCAGGGGCCACAGAGCACAACGGCACCUGUUAGAGGGGCACUGGCUGGUGACUGGCAGAGCAGGCGGGAGGGGCAGCCAUAGGAUUCCAUAGCUGGCACUGGCUUGCAUGGCCCCAAGAGAAAACAGCCUGGCCCGCCUGGUUCCAUCCUGUGAAGGGCACUUUCUCACUUGGGAGGAGGAAAAAGAGAGAGAAGCUGCCGCUGGGCACAAAUAUCAAUUAAGAUCACUGUCACCAUGGCAGCACGCGCUUCUGCUCCAGGCAGGGCCUUCCCCAUUUUAUUCUGUCAAAGCAGCCAUCUUCAUGAAGAGCAAAUGGAUUAUUUUGCAACAGUCACUUAACCCCAGAAAAUGAAGACAAACCCUAUCACAGCUAGUAGGUGUCUCUUUGUCUUAUUUGUUGAUGACCUCCUAGUUGUGACAUAUUCCUGUGGGUUUACCCAUAGGAAUUGGUGGAUCUUUGAAGUUGAUCAUGAUAUGAUACAUAUAUUAUUUAUAAUACAUCUAUUAUAUAUAAUACAUGUAUACAUUCAUGGACACACGGCAUAAACUUUUAUUCACAUUUAUUUAUAUAUGUUCAUGGUGUAUGUAUCUAUAUAAGCAUGCACACUCACACAGGAACACACAAAUACGCACACAAACACACAUACAUACCUGUCCUAUCUAUAAUUGUCACCCUGCAAAGAGGGGUUUAGCAGAUUUUUUAACAAAUGGCUUAGUGACCUUUUCUGUUGAUAAAAGUGAGAAUGCUCAUAGUAGAAAAAUUAGAAGCAGAACUUUGUGAAGAGAAAAAUAAAUAUCACUGAUAAUCCCACUAAACAGAGAAAAAUAAUUGUACUUUAUCCAUUCCUGUCUUUUUCAUGCAUAUUGUAGGGGUGUCCUUUUUACAUAGUCAGAAUCACGAUAUGUGCAAUAUGUGCAAUUCUGCAAACUGCUGUUUUCCCCUCAGCCCUGUGGGAGGCGUUCUCCCUACGUUUGACCAAAUACUUUUAAGCCUACCUUAUGC